rnacentral:lncRNA from 9 species
AAGCAGCUCUGCAGGUGACCUCGUGCAAUGCUGUUUCUCGCCUGCCCUCGUUCCCUCCCAGGCUCUGACCAACACGGUGCAGCUCCUACAACCACGUAGCCUAUGGAUGGCGAAGCCCAGAGGCCGCGGGGCAGUCGCUGGGAGGUGCGGCUCAGAGGAGAGGACCUCUGUACACCCUCCAGCAAUAAAAGCAUCUGGUGGACGCCGCUGUGUAGGCUCUGGUUGCCAAGAUCUCCAGCUUCCAAAGGGGAGCAGGACAACCCACAGGACGGUGGAAACCUCAAGAGCAUCCUUUCAGCCGGAACACCUGCACCAAGGCAGUGGUCUGGAUGCUUGGGGCCCCAGCCACUAGAGGGCACUGCACACCCAGGGAGAGACAGCCGUGGGCAUCCCCUCCUGGGUUCUUCCAUCAGGUCUGGCUCUGGCCUCCUGAGCUGAGGGUCUCAUCAGCAUUCGCUGAAAUAGAACUCAGUGGAAAUAGCAUUUGGAAAAGGCAACAAAACCAGCCCACGUUCUUUUCUCCUCGCAGAUUGCAUAGCGUCGUGGAAGCCUCCCUCAUCACUCUCGACUGGGAUGACUCAGCUGUCCCCAGAAGGCAGCCCCACGAACAUCCACCCCUGCUUAUGUUGUUCUGUCUCUGAAGGUCAAAGACUAGACAUCUGGACAGGGUCUACUGCAGCCCCUGGCCCUGUGACAGACUUGGCCAACUCAGGCCAAGACUAUCGACCGAUCUCAUCAUCGUCACAGACUAACAUAAACAAGAGCUAAUGUUUACCUUCCCAACAACAAUCAUAAAGGAUGAUUAUUACCCUCCCUCUUUUAGAGAAGGGGAAACGGGACUCAAGAGUCAAGCCUUACUGUGAAUCAAAGCCAGGGCUUGAAGUGAAGUCUCUCUGGUGCUAGUCUGUGGUCUUUGUAAUGAAUGGAGCUGUCUUUUGGUCCUCAGUUCACCAUCUGGAGUUAAUGAAAGUUGAGAUUUUUAUUCAUUUUCUCAUUCACUCAAAUUACUUGCUUCGUUGAGGUGUGUCUGGUAUGCACAAAAUUGCAUCCAUCCAGUGUAUACACCUUUGUGUUUGUGAUUGCACCUGGGAUAGCAUCAGUGUAACCAGGGUGCUGACGUGUUCAUCACCUCCAAAGAUGCCCUUGUGUCCUUUUGUGGGGUUUUGUUUUGGUGGGAACACGUAAUAUGAGACCUGUUCUCCUAACAUAUUUUAAAGUAGACAUUCUUUAAAGUGCACAUGCUUUUAACCUGUAGUUAUUGUUGACUAAAGGUACUAUAUUGUAUAGCAAAUCUCUAGAACUCACUGUGUGUAGCAGAAAGUUUGUACGCAUCGAAAAGCAACCCCCACUAUCCUAUCUCACAGUCCUCUCCUUUGCAUUUCUGUGGCAUCAAUUUUAAUGUCUCAUCUUUCAUUUCUAAUUUUAUUUAUGGGAACCUUUUUUGCUUAAUCUUAAGAAACCAG